rnacentral:tRNA from 1 species
UAGCUCAGUUGGUUAGAGCGUCGGAUUGUGGUUCCGAAGGUCGUGGGUUCGACCCCCACUGUU